GUCAAUGUUUAUGAAUACUUAAAGGGAGGGUGUCAGGAGGAUGGGGCUGGUCUUUUUUCAGCGGUGCCCAGGGACAGGACAAGAGGAAAUGGGCACAAACUUCAAUAGAAGAAGUUCCACCUAGAGAUGAAGAGGAAUUUCUUUCCUUUAAGAGUGCCAGAGCCCUGGCAGAGGCUGCCCAGGGAGGUGGUGGAGUCUCCUCCUCUGGAGACAUUCAAACCCCACCUGAACACGUUCCUGUGCACCCUGCUCUGGGUGGACCUGCUUUGGCAGGGGGUUGGAGUAGAUGAUCUCCAGGGGUCCCUUCCAACCCCAUGUGAUUCUGUGACCCUCUUCCAGGGGAGCAUCUCCACUCCCUGUGCCUGAGCUCGCAAUUCUCCCGGUGGGAAAUGCUGUCCCUCUCCCCAUCCUGGACACGUUCCCCCCCACUCACCCAGACGGCUGGCUUUGCAGGUCAACCAAGAGUGCCUCCAAGGCUCGUCGGGACCAGAUCAACGUGGAGCUGCAGGCGCUGCGUUCCUUGCUGCCCAUCUCCGCCCGGGAGAAGGAGCGGCUCUCCUACCUCCACACCAUGGCCCUGGUGUGCCUCCGGCUGCGGGGGGCUCAGCUCUUCCCUCCAGACUCAGCUCCUCCAGUGGGACCCGGCCUUGGCGCAGAGCUGCUCUCCCUGCUGCCAGGGUUUCUGCUUGUGCUCUCGGCCAACGGCAAGCUGGUCUACAUCUCGGAGAACGUGGCUCAGGUCCUGGGCCUCUCCAUGGUAAGGCCUGUCCACCCAUGGCGUUUGUGGUCACUGUCCUUCUCCUGGUGAGGGUGGCAGAGCCCUGGCAGAGGCUGCCCAGGGAGGGUGUGGAGUCCCCUUCUCUGGAGAUCUUCAAGCCCCACCUGGAUGCCCUUCUGAGUGAUGUGCUCUGGGCAGCCCUGCUUUGGCAGGGGAGUUGGGCUGGAUGAUCUCUAGAAGGUCCCUUCCAACUCUGACAAUUCCGUGAUUCCGAGCUUACAUCCGAGCCGAGCUGCCCCGGCAGAUGCCAGCCUGUGGCUCCAGCAGGCUCAGGGUGCCAUCGGAAGGUCCACCAGAGCAGGAACAGCGCAUGACAGCAGCCUUCUCUUUACCAGGUGGAGCUGCUGGCCCAGGGGGACACGGUCUUCGACAUCCUAGAUGGGCGAGCGCACGAGGAGGUGCGCAAGAAGCUCCUCCUUGCCCAGGAGGAGCCCGGCAGGGGUAAGGGAGGCCACGGCUGGCGUCUCACAGACGCCGCUGCCCUGCUCUUGGCUCUUUGUGGCCAGAGCGCCAGGGCCAGUGGAGCUGGGGAGCCCCUGACCCGCUCUGGCCGCUCUGUUUCCCUGCAGAAGUCACGUUUGUGGGCGAGAUGCGGACGUCCAAGGCCUUGAGGCUGCAGCACGGGGGGAAUCAGGCCGUGGCAGUGCGUGGGCGCUUCACAGCCCUGCGCUGGCCGGCCUCCCCCUCCGCCACAGCCUUCCUGGCCCUCUGCACCCCCGUCGCACGGUUGCCUGCGGACGGUGACGCUGGUUCCCAGGACCACCUCUUCCAGAGCACCCACAUGCUAGACAUGACGUUUACCGACGUCACGGAGAGGUGAGGGGCGUCUGCUGGCAUCACAGCCCCCUCAGACAGCACAGAUCCUCUCCCUCCACCAAGCCCGCGUUUGGGAUGCAGGCUGGACCCUGCAUG
rnacentral:lncRNA from 1 species